rnacentral:tRNA from 1 species
UUCUAGCUAAAGAAAGGGAAAACUCAUCAGGCCCAUGACCUGAAGAUCGCAGGUUCGAGUCCUGUCCCCGUAA